rnacentral:lncRNA from 1 species
CCAUCUGCUUACUCUCCCAGUGUUUAUUGGUUGAUAUUUAGGAGCCCCGACAUAAUUCCCCCACUCUCCCAAAGAGAACAUCUUGUUCACCAUUUGGUCCAUCAGAGAAAACAAACAAACAAAAAACCAGGGGAAAAACCCAAGACCUGACUACAUUGGAAAUCUAGUUCCUCACUAAACACCACUGUGUUUGUCCCCUUAAGAAACUUAACAUUUUAAAAUCCUUUAAAAGAUAUUUUUAAUGUUAGAAAGUGUAAAAACAAAACACAUUUUCUCCCAAAGUUAUGCUGUGUAGCCUGGCUGGGGACUGUCCUUCCCCUCCCUUUGAGAAGCCAGAGCCAUCCUAAACGGCCCGCUGGGUCACUGUGUCUCCUACUCGGUGAAGCGGGCUGUGCGGCCUUCCCUCUUCCCUUGUGUGCAACGUGGAGCUGAGGGAUCCCUUAACUGAGGGCACAGUGGAGCCCAGCCCAGAGCCCAGAAGGCUCCCCUUUGUCCCACUUCCUCUCCCUGGGCUCUGAGCCAGCUCAGACCAGAAAGCAAUCAAAGGACUUCUGAGCCCGAAAGGCCUGGGAUCAGCCCCUCCCGUCCCAGGAGUUCCUAGGAUUCUAAGUCAGGGGCAUAAGGGGACUGGACGUGGAAACCAACCCAGAAAACAAAUGCCCGGCUUCUCCGACUCUUGCUCUCCCAGUAGAGCCAGCAGGCGGAGAUAGCACCCCAGCGGGAGGACAUACAGCACCCCAGCUCCUGACCCUGGGCCAUCAGGGACUCGCAGGCAGACGGAGAGAAGGGCAAGCCAGGCCCAGGAGGUGAAAGCAGGCAGCCAGCUCAGGAAAUGCUGAGUGAGCCAAUUAAGUCCCAAGAAGAAGGAACCUUUCAGAAGGAUUUCCAGUCUGACAUUGAGGUCAAGAGAUCAUAGACCUAACUGAUUACUGCCACGGGGAAGAGAGAAGGAAGCUGAUCAGAAAAUCUCCCCUUGUUGUCACUUAGAAUGAAAGCUCCUCGGCAGCCCGCCUUUCCCGGGAGAGGCACAGGGCGCCGCAGCCAGCCAGUCGGUCAGAAGGACUGCGCAGUCACAGUGUUUGCUGAGACCUUUGUAAAUUUCUCCUGUUCCGAGAACUUCAAGUCACUCUGUCACCUGGAAAGCCCAGGUGAGUGAGCCAGCAAUGCUGCCAAUGACCAGGAGCCU